CAUGUGCUUCGAGGAUGUGGUCUUAGCGCUCCAAACGGUCGGCCAGUCGAUGGCGGCGUACGGAACGACGAUCUUGUUUAGUCCGUGUAUCGCCAAACUGGUCGCCUGGUAGGGCGAAGCGAAGUACGCCCAACUAAAUACAAAUGUUUUUUGUCUUAGCACACCGCAAUGAACGAAGUCGGUAAAACAUUUCGAAAGCUGCAUUCAUUUUCAUGUUAUCGUAUCUUCAAAGUGGUUACCAGUCAGCUCCUUAUCGAGAAAAAGAAGAUCACGUUCAUGAGUUCAGUCUAUACCUUCUGUUCUUCUACAAUAUUUCAUCCAAACUAAGGCGAUCGUCAGCUGCCUUCAUUACAGUACUUACGACCGACCAGUUGUCAAGAUAAUUCGACUUUUGCGGUAAUGCUAUCGACAGACCGCGAAGCUUCUUCAUUAAAUUGGAAUUCUUUA